UGUUUUCCGAUAUAGCCGAAGAGGUGUUCUGCAAAACUGAUUCUGCAGUUCGGAUAUUCGUUCGUUUCGGGUAUAGGCCGUUGGCGAAAAUCGAAACGAACGUUUAUCGUUCAAGCUUUUGUCCGAGCCGAGUUGGUCGCGAACCAGAUGACUCGGCGUCGCGUGCACGACCGUAAACGCGUGCAACUCAUCACGACCGUUAUUGUUGUCGAUGCGCACGUCGGACCGCACGCGGCCACGCGAAAAGAGACAUCAACCUCCAGCCGGCGGUGCACAACACGGUGGGAGGGGGUGCGCGGAACACGUGUGCGCGCGACCCCGUCGGAACGUUUAUCGAGUUAGUCGCCGACCGUCUGGGGAACGCGCGCGGUCCGUCGGGAUUCGCUCGUUGCGGACCGUUCUCGCGCCGCCGCGUUAUGUUAGGGUUGGCUCGCGCCCUUACCGACGCACAGCGGGCCGGAACGUGAAAGAGCGGGACGAAAAUACGUUUCGUCCUCGUUUGUAUAAAAUAUUUUAUAUUGGUGCACACUUCGGCAAUGCGAAACAGUUAUUACGUGUUAUUUGUCAAUGAUUUACCGUGGUACACGAGUGAAAAAAAAACAACAGCGUUUAACUGUUAACGCUAUUCUCACUCGUACUUCCGUCAUCGCUUUCUUCAUUGUUAGAUACGUCAACUUUUUCAUCGUUUCGCUUUUUUUCAUCGUUGGGCCGGCUUCAGCUCUUUUUUUUUUUCAGCAAAGUGCAAGAAUUAUUUAUCCUUCAUCUUAAACCAGCGACGUAUUUACGAGGAGUGGAGGGAUCAAUCCUCUCCCCCAUUGGUGUUUUUUCCUAAGAAACGUCUUAGCAGACUAGCGCUUUUAUCAGUUUAUCGGAGAAUAGACACAAAUAAAAACCAGCGAAAAACAGUUGAAGCCGGGAUAAAAAAAAAUACUGCCCUACAUUUCUUUAACUAAAAGUAUAGUUCGUGAAUAAUAACUGUAAUAUGUACCCAGUUUUCCCUACUUAAUACAAUACAUUUAAUCCAAUUGAUUAAUAAAUAUUUAUUCCUAUAGAAAUAAUACACAACGCUGUUUUAUUUGAACUAUUUUUUUUUUUUACUCGGUAAUUCGAAUUCUCUCCAAAUCGAAUUUUCCGAUAAGUUUUCUAAAUUUAGAAUUGUCGAGAGUUUACUUAUAGAAACAUAAUUAAUAUUAUUAAUAUAAAAAGCCCAAUAUGGGGGUGACGAUCGGCAUCUUACCUAUCCCACAAAACUACCCCUGCCUAAUAUAAGAAAUCAUAUAUUUUUAAUUAAAAGUUUUAAAUUUGAAAAUUUCGAGACAACUACAAACAAUCGAAUAAAAUGGACGAUCUACAAGAAUUCGGUAAGUACUCAAUUUCGUUAGAUAAUUCUUUCAACACGUGUUGAACGGACGCUACUCGCUCGCGAUGAAAGUUCAAGACUUGGCUACUUUUGUCGUUACUCGUUGACCAUUUCACACUCCAUACAUUUUCACUAUUCUACUUCGUUGUUUGAGAACGAUACCGUACAAUCAGACCCGUGCGCGGGAAUCGUCCAAAGGAGGGGUUCAAAAAUUAUAUAUGUUGUGUUAGGUAAAACAUACCAUACAUGCAUUUACAGCGGUAAUCGACAUUAGGUGCAGUAUAACCGACAAUUAAAUAGAAAAAGGCGUCAAAUCGAAAACAUUGACACUGUUAAAACAAAAAUAGGCACUAUAGGUAUAUGAAUUUUCGAUUCAGUUUUUAAUUAUUAUGGAAUGAGGACUAGGUAUUCUAUAUAUUCUUAGUAAAAAUGUAUGUAAAAAAGAAAAGAUCCUCAAUGGGAGGGUUAAAAAUCUCAAAACCUCUCCCUAGCGCACAGGCCUGCGUAAAGUACCAUAGGCACCGAAACUAACCUAACCUAAUCCAUGGCCAAAAUCGUACGCAACGUGUGGACAUGAAAUACGCGUGCGUGUAGGUAAAUUAGCAGAUAGGUACACAUACUUACGCGCGACUUCGUUGACACGUGGGCUAGUGAAUUCGACAAACGUAACCGAACACUCGAGUGUUAUGCAUAAACGUUAUCGAUUAGACCGAAUGUGCAUAAAUAAUUACGUACGUUUAUUGUUUCAAAACGAUAGAGUAAAAGCGAUCAGCCGCAGUGUUGACUGAAACCUUGGAACCCGCAGUCGACUGGAUUGAUCAAACCCGUUGAAAUGGGCCAUGCUUUUGUGUUUAGUUCAAAAAUUAAUGACAAAAGUAUAGAUGAUUUAAUGUCUGUUUUGUAUAAUGUAAAAGAUCAUAUUAAGGAUCUUAAUAUUACAGAAAUUCUUGAAAAGCAAGGCCAAUCCUUACUUUCCUUCUUUCCGAUCGAUAAACUUAUAUAUGAAUCCAUUUAUAAGGACGUUGUUGUUGUAAAUUAUUAGCUUAUUAUCAAUGAUGUGAAAAAAACCAUUAUUUUUUAUUUCGAACAAAAUUAACCAUGAAUGUUGUUUUUUAGUGCCGU